GACGAACACUGGCGGCGUACUUAACACAUGCAAGUCGAACGGAAAGGCCUGCUUUCCCUUGUGGAUUGCGGGUACUCGAGUGGCGAACGGGUGAGUAACACGUGAGUGAUCUGCCCCCAACUUGGGUAUAGGCCUGGGAAACUGGGUCUAAUUCCCGAUAGGACUGCAGGGUGGUGCCUGUGGUGGAAAACGAUUUUCUAGUGGUUGGGGAUGAGCUCGCGGCCUAUCAGCUUGUUGGUGGGGUAAUGGCCUACCAAGGCGGCGACGGGUAGCCGGCCUGAGAGGGUGGACGGCCACAUUGGGACUGAGAUACGGCCCAGACUCCUACGGGAGGCAGCAGUGGGGAAUAUUGCACAAUGGGCGGAAGCCUGAUGCAGCGACGCCGCGUGGGGGAUGACGGCCUUCGGGUUGUAAACUCCUUUCGACCGCGAGGAAGCCACCUGGUUGGAAGGGUGGUGACGGUAGUGGUAGAAGAAGCACCGGCUAACUACGUG
rnacentral:rRNA from 1 species